GAAAUGCUUACGCUGAAAAAUCCGAGCCUUGGCCGAAGCACAACUAUAACGGAGAGAAUGCUUAGGAAACAUUUGUUAAACCCUGAGGACCAUUACGUGCCAUGAAGGAAACCCAGCAGGGAGGAGGGAGCUGGGCUCUGCUUCGCUCUCAGCUGUUCCCGAGUGCUCGGCCCGCACACAUCCCUCGUGCCACAUCGACAGCGUUCUGUGAGCCAGGAGCACGGGAAGGUGCUCAGAAAUGUGAGAGAGGAGAGCUCAGCUCCUACUCUGAGUGGAAAAACCGUGCCUGUGGUGUGUGAUGGAGGGGGGAUGGGAUGGCUGGUACCUGCCGGGAGCCCCGAGGGUGCUGCAGCUCCUGGACUUU
rnacentral:lncRNA from 1 species